UUAAAUGCUCAUUUAAAAGAAAUGUGGUCAGACGGAUUUAGAGGGUUUUGCAUCUGAACUCUUCAUUUUUUCCAGCCACUGUGUAAUUUGCCUUGUGCGUCCUAACUGUGGGUUAUCCCACUUGGUCAGAAGUUGUUGCAAGGUUUUCUUUUAUUUUUAUACAUCAUCUCUGUCUAUAGUUAGGGGUUGGUUUUUCCUAGAUCCAUAUAUUUCCACAAAAAAAAUCCUUCCCAAAUCAACAUCAGCUAAACAUAACUAGUUAAGAGUCAGAGGACACAUUCAUAGAAGGAUUUUCAUAUAUAGACUUGAGUGCCAGGAUGCUACAGCUGCAUUGCUGUCUCAUGUCAUGUAAGUGCAACAAAAUAUGCUUAAUUGAAGUUCAUUAAAGAUGCAUCCUUAAAAUUGUCUUUACAAUCCAAUAGCUUUGUAAGAACAGAUGCCUCCAAGACAUACCUGAGCUUAAUAUCAGCGGUAAUGGUGUAAACCAGGCAUUCUUGCCAGAACAUCAUGGUGAGUGCACGGCACUAGAAGGGGGUUCUCCAAAGUGGUGAAUCCAGAGUACAGUUAUGUUUUGUUUCCAUCUGUAUAGCUUUUGUCUUCUCAUAAAUAUAUAACUGAACUGAUUUGAAUUAUGUUACUACACAACUGUGUGUGUGUGAGAGAGAGAGAGAGUGUGUGUGUGUGAGAGAGAGAAUAAGGCAUACAACUAGCAAAUCUACCAAAUGUUCAGUGAAAAGUAAAACACUUUCCAUCACCAUGUGUUUAGAAAUUGUUCAGAGCUUAGCCAAUUAUCUGUGGCACGUGAGAGAUAGGUAGGGUACUUCGCCUCGACUUGGCUACUCAUAAAAUACACUAUGUUCACCGGCAGAAUCCAGCGAGACCAUGUAGGCCUAAUGCCCGAAACGUAGCCAACCACAAAUGCUGAAUUAUAUUGAACAAAACAAUUAUUUGGCGGCGAGGACCACUGUAAUUCAUAGUAUACAUUUUGAUAUUAAAAAACCUCACAAAUUAGUAGCCUACAGGCUAUGUAUAUUCUGAGCUUUUCCCAUGCAUAUGGCUAUGAAAUAGUUUAGGACAUCAACUAGGUGAUUAGGCGUAUAGCCUUAAUAAGAAAUCACAAUCGCCAAAUGACCUGAUAUUGCUCAAUACACAGACUACAUAAAUUUCUAUUUUAAGGUUUGGCUACAUCCCGUGCUUCCCUGCCCUACAGUGGGCCGGCAGAUCUAUCCAGGCAAUACCAGUGGUGGCCAGAGCACAGACCUUCUUCGGGUUUCGAAACAGAAGCACCAGGAGGCCAAUGGCACCACAGAACAACAGUGCACCAAUGAUAGCCCCAGCAAUGACUCCAUCGUUUAUCUCUGUGGAAUAUUAAGGUGUAGGUGGGUGGUGGAUUUCCCUCUUUACUAUGGCAGGUGAGUAUGACUUGAUGACCAGUUGCUACUUCUCCAUGAU